CCUACGGGGGGCAGCAGCAACGAAUCUUCCCCAAUGCCGGAAACGGUGAGGGAGCGACGCCGCGUGAAGGAUGAAGUACUUCGGUAUGUAAACUUCUGUAAGGGACAUGAAAGGUUAGCGCCUAACACGCGCAAAAUUUGAUCUGUCCCCUAAAAGGGGCGGCUAACUCUGUGCCAGCAGCCGCGGUAAUACAGAGGCCCCAAGCGUUACUGAGAAUCACUGGGUUUAAAGGGUGCGUAGGUGGUCCGUUAAGUUCGUUGUGAAAGCCCUGGGCUCAACCCAGGAACUGCUUCGAAUACUGGCGGACUUGAGGCUAGUAGGGGUUACUGGAACUGACGGUGGAGCGGUGAAAUGCGUAGAUAUCGUCAGGAACGCCAAUGGUGAAGACAGGUAACUGGGCUAGUUCUGACACUGAGGCACGAAAGCGUGGGGAGCGAACGGGAUUAGAUACCCUAGUAGUC
rnacentral:rRNA from 1 species